UACGUAGGGUGCAAGCGUUGUCCGGAAUUAUUGGGCGUAAAGAGCUCGUAGGCGGUUCGUCGCGUCGGCUGUGAAAUCCCGAGGCUCAACCUCGGGUCUGCAGUCGAUACGGGCGGACUGGAGUUCGGCAGGGGAGACUGGAAUUCCUGGUGUAGCGGUGAAAUGCGCAGAUAUCAGGAGGAACACCGGUGGCGAAGGCGGGUCUCUGGGCCGUAACUGGACGCUGAGGAGCGAAAGCAUGGGGAGCGAACAGG
rnacentral:rRNA from 1 species